AACUGAAACAUCUAAGUACCCCGAGGAAAAGAAAUCAACCGAGAUUCCGAAAGUAGCGGCGAGCGAAAUUGGACUAGCCCUUAAGCUUUACACGCGUUAGACGAACGGUCUGGAAAGUCCGACGAUACAGGGUGAUAGUCCCGUAGUUGACGACGUGUGUUCAGUGAAAUCGAGUAGGGCGGGACACGUGAUAUCCUGUCUGAAUAUGGGGGGACCAUCCUCCAAGGCUAAAUACUACUGACUGACCGAUAGUGAACCAGUACCGUGAGGGAAAGGCGAAAAGAACCCCUGUGAGGGGAGUGAAAUAGAACCUGAAACCGUGUACGUACAAGCAGUAGGAGCAGGCUUUGUCCUGUGACUGCGUACCUUUUGUAUAAUGGGUCAGCGACUUAUAUUCAGUGGCAAGGUUAACCAUCUAGGGGAGCCGUAGGGAAACCGAGUCUUAACUGGGCGUUCAGUCUCUGGAUAUAGACCCGAAACCAGGUGAUCUAGCCAUGGGCAGGUUGAAGGUUGAGUAACAUCAACUGGAGGACCGAACCGACUAAUGUUGAAAAAUUAGCGGAUGACUUGUGGCUAGGGGUGAAAGGCCAAUCAAACCUGGAGAUAGCUGGUUCUCCCCGAAAGCUAUUUAGGUAGCGCCUCGGACGAAUACUACUGGGGGUAGAGCACUGUUAAGGCUAGGGGGUCAUCCCGACUUACCAACCCUUUGCAAACUCCGAAUACCAGUAAGUACUAUCCGGGAGACACACGGCGGGUGCUAACGUCCGUCGUGGAGAGGGAAACAACCCAGACCGCCAGCUAAGGUCCCAAAUUACUACUAAGUGGGAAACGAUGUGGGAAGGCUCAGACAGCCAGGAUGUUGGCUUAGAAGCAGCCAUCAUUUAAAGAAAGCGUAAUAGCUCACUGGUCGAGUCGGCCUGCGCGGAAGAUGUAACGGGGCUAAGUAGUAAACCGAAGCUGCGGCAAUGUGCUUUUGCACAUUGGGUAGGGGAGCGUUCUGUAAGCGGUUGAAGGUGUGUGGUAACGCAUGCUGGACGUAUCAGAAGUGCGAAUGCUGACAUGAGUAACGAUAAAGGGGGUGAAAAACCUCCUCGCCGGAAGACCAAGGGUUCCUGUCCAACGUUAAUCGGGGCAGGGUAAGUCGACCCCUAAGGCGAGGCCGAAAGGCGUAGUCGAUGGGAAACGGGUUAAUAUUCCCGUACUUCUUACAAUUGCGAUGGGGGGACGGAGAAGGCUAGGUGGGCCUGGCGACGGUUGUCCAGGUUCAAGUGCGUAGGCUU
rnacentral:rRNA from 1 species